rnacentral:lncRNA from 1 species
UAUUUAGACAUACUUAAAGGAAGCAAGAUCUUUUUAUAAGUGGGGCGAGUUGUCAGACCUUUAUUCAGUGGGGUUUAAACCUUUUUCGUUAAUUAGUGAGUUUUCAGACUGAUUGUUCAAUUUGAUUUUACACUUUUUCAAAGUGGGGCAAGUCAGUAAACAAGAGUGGGACGAUAUUUUUAUAAAGUGGGCGAUAUAGUGGGGGCCGAUUGGCAAGUGGG